AUUGAACGCUGGCGGCAGGCCUAACACAUGCAAGUCGAACGAGUGGCGCACGGGAGAGUAAUGUCUGGGACACUGCCCGAUGGAGGGGGAUAACUACUGGAAACGGUAGCUAAUACCGCAUACUAUCGGAUGUGCCCAGAUGGGAUUAGCUAGUAGGUGGGGUAACGGCUCACCUAGGCGACGAUCCCUAGCUGGUCUGAGAGGAUGACCACCCACACUGGAACGGCGACACGGUCCAGACUCCUACGGGGGGCGGCAGUGGGGAAUAUUGCACAAUGGGCGCAAGCCUGAUGCAGCCAUGCGGCGUGUAUGAAGAAGGCCUUCGGGUUGUAAAGUACUUUCAGCGAGGAGGCGUUACUCACAGAAGAAGCACCGGCUAACUCCGUGCCAGCAGCCGCGGUAAUUC
rnacentral:rRNA from 1 species